rnacentral:lncRNA from 1 species
CUCUUUCUAGUUACUUUCAGAGCCCAUUUUUGCAUCUGCCGCACAUGGCUUUCCAUAAACCUUUCACAAAAUUCCACUAUAUUUGCACUUACCACCCAUGUUUGUUGAGACAGGGUUUCACUACAUGUUAGGGAGUCCUGAGAUACCAAUGGCUUAAACGAGAUAGAAUUUUAUUUCUUCCAAGUCAAGUCCAGAGGUGCACACUGCAGGGUUGAUACGGCAGCCUGAUCCAAGGUGUGCUCAGGGACUCGGCCUCGGCCCCCCUCACCAGGCUGCCUUCCCUCGUGGGUGCCCUUAUCCUCAUGGUCCAGCCGUCUCGGUUCCAGGUGGUAGAAAGGAGGAAGGGAUGAAGAAGAGCCGCAACAAGCAGGCCGCCUCGUUCGUAAGGAGUAUUACGGAAGCUGCCAGAGGAAACUUCCGCUUACAUCUCAUUGGCCAAAACAUAAUCGUAAUCACACGACCACACGCAACAGCAAAGGAGGCUGGGAGAUAUGCAGUUUUAACGUCCCAAACAAUUUGCCCAGCAGCAAAAUGGAGGUUUCCAUUUUAGUAAUUUAUUUCAAUAACGAAUAUUGGGGGACAGACUACAGUAUUUGCCACGCCACAUUUUAGAAGCAUCUCUGCAUCACUAUGAACACUUGGGAUGCUCGCCUUCGGACCUUCUGAAGCGAGGGUGGUUCUUUGAAUGACCUUCUGCCUGAGAAGUUCACCAAUUCCUGUCAUAGCUUCAUAUCCCUGAUCAAUGUGCUCAGAAAAGAGCAGAUGUGACCCCGGACACUGCACUGCAGACGUGGGUACUGGUUUUUUUAAAAGGCACCUCUGUCAACUUUGUUCCCGUGGACAUUCAUCUUUCCUUAAAAUUUCUAAAUUAAAAUUGAAGGCUUUAUGGAGAUUUACUAUCAUUAUAAGGUGAUAUUAAAAUAUGAUAGCCUUUAAAAUGUAUCACCACACUCAAUAAAUGUUACUGGGCUGGGAAAGUAAAGCAAAAAACAAAGAAAAUAUAUGAACAGAAGGGAUUCUGUAGGAUUUGUAGUUGAUUUGUUCAUUCCUUCUCUCUCUUCUCCUCUUUCUCUUCCCUCCUUCCUUCUUUCCUUAUUUCCUUCAGUCUUAGAAACUAGUUACUGAAAAUCUGUUACGUGAUGAUGUAAUGUCAGGACGUGCUCCAGCAGCAUCUCAAAUGCUGGAAAGGAUUAAUGUGAGGAACAGGCUGGCAGCCUGCUGAAGUCAUUUAAAAGACAGCAAAUGCUACGGAAUAAACAAGCAAAAAUGAAUGCUAGUUGGUUAUUAAAGUAAAAUUUCUUACUUAAUUGAAGACUGAUAUCACUUGAACUAAAUCUGACUACAGAAGGGCCAUCUUCCCGCUAAGUGCAGAGAGAAGAGUUGACAUUGCAUUUUGUAUAGUUGUGUAUGGAGAUGGCUUAUGUCACUCUGUCUUGAUACCCUUUUUCACAGAAUCAUCAUGCGAACUCAGACAUGAUUCAAAUCCAGUCAGAUCUUUACGCAGAGAUUAAGAAUCACAAAGUCUCUAUUAUUAACUAGAUUUUGGAUGUGAGUAUUUCAUUGUAAACCUCCUGGAUCCAUUGCCUUUCCAGCCAAUCUGGGUCAAGACCUCUCAGCUGCCAUGUGCUUUCCCCAGGUUUCCCGGGUUUCUAAUCUCCAGCUAGCUCUGUUCUUCAGCUGCUUUUUGACUGGUAAUGAGUAACUGGCUGGCUUACUUGCAGACUUUAUACACAAAAGUACAAGAAACCUGACAUUCUUGGUGGACGGAUUCAAUUAAUUAUCUCCUCUAAACUUGUUCUCCCCGCUGGACUUGUUCUAAUAGGUGUUUUUGUCCUCACUAUUUAUGUCUGGGGUUAUAUGGCACCAUGGAUAUUGAGUUUCUCUCUCUCUGGGGCCUCAAUCAUUGCCUGAUAGGGGAUGAUCAGAUCAUAAUGAUUAUUUCAGGCCCUUUCUCCUCCGGCUGUGCCUUACCCGAGAAACAGCCCAGAGGGUCUCAGAGUUAAAUCGCUUCUUCGAGCCACCUUCUGGGGCAGCUUCUUCAAGUAGAAAAAAUAUGAACCUUUUAAGUGAAGUUUGGCCUCAUUGAUAAACACGGGAUUCGCAUCUUCCCGUUCUGGUGGUUGCCUGCUCAGAUAAUCUUUCUUUAUUGUGGUGGUUUUAAUGACUCAUUUUUGUUCUAAAUUUUUUUCUCUCUAAAGAGCAAUAAGUGCACAUAGUAAAAACUUCAAGCAGUACAAAGUAUAUAUAAUAAGUCUCCUUGUACCCCUUGAGACCCAGUCUACCCCUUGAGACCCAGUCUACCCCUUGAGUGCUCCAGUGUCUAAAGCUGCCCGUCACACAGAGAAAAAGUUCCAUUUCUAUAGCCUGUGAUUAAAAACUGUCAGGAUCUCUCCAUGAUCUCUUUCCCUCAGUUUUUUCCUACUCCAGGCACAUACCCUCUGCUCCAGCCGUACUUGCUAUAGAGUUUCUCUUCCUUUUUUUAACUUUAUUGAGAUAACUUUGACAUAGAAAAAUUAUAUAUAUUUAAGGUGUUUAACUUGAUGUUUUGAUAUACGUAUACAUUGUGAAAAGAUUACCACAAUCAAGCUACAUUACUUACCCAUGACCUCUACAUAGUAAUUAGCUUGUGUAUGUGUGUGUGUGGUGAGAAGACAAUUUAAGAUCUACCCUCUGAGGAAACUUCAAGUGUAUAACACAGUGUUGUUCACUAUGGUCACCAUGCUGUAUAUUAUAUCUCCUGCACUCUUUCAUCUUGCAUAACUGAAACUUUGUACCCUUGACCAGCAUCUCAUCUCUCCUAUCCCUGCCAACCACUGUUCUACUCUUUGCUUCUAAGAAUUUGACUAUUUUAGAUUCUAAAUAUAAGCGAGAUCAUGCACUGUUUGCCUUUCUGUGUCUGGAUUAUUUCACUGAGCAUAAUGCCGUCCAGUUUCUGGAUGAGGCCUGGGUCUUUGCUUGUGGACACCCUGUCCCUGGGUCUUUGCUCUGGUGGUCCGCUCUGGUGGAGAGCCCUUCAUUCUCCUAUGAAGCUUGCCCCACCUUCCAGGCCCUAUUCAGGUUUUCAUUAUCACUGACUUCCUUGUAUUCGCCUCACAUAUUUGUCUCCACUACUAAACCAUCAGAUCUAAGAGGGACGGAGUCCAGAAACCUGGGCUCUAUGCUCAGCUCAGCCAUUAAUAAUUGUGUGGCCCAGAGAAAGACAGGAAGCCUCCCAGGGCCUGGUUUUCUCAUCUGUUACAACAUUUUUGAAAACAAAGAGCCAACUCCUACAAGACUCAAGAAGAGAGCAGUAACUCACGCUGCCUGUAUGUUCUUAAAGUAGGGAGAGAGAUUCUCUCUUCUCUAUAUAGAUGAAAAUAAAUAUUUGAAGUAAAUAAAUUAGUUUACUGUUGUCCUGUGAGAAAUACAAGCCUAGUGGAAAAACAAAGAAUGUGUUUAUGGAACUAUAUGAGCUAAACUGGUUAUUAUAAAUCUGAGUGGUUAAUAAGAAAUUCCAACGUCCAUGGAAUGUUUACUUAAUGUACUAAGACCCUCCGUUCAAGCAGAUAACUUGCAAGUUGAUUGAAUUCAUGAACUUUUAUUGGUGGUCUUUCAAAUUAAAUAAAAUCCUUUGCCUUUUCUUGAAGUGUUGCUUCUAGCAGGAGCUAUGUCUUAUGCACUAUCAGGGAGGGACUGUGAAGAGCUUGUGACCUUAUUUCACAGUUAAAAUACUCAGACCAUAAUCACUAAGAUGUCCUUCUAGGAAAGAAUUUCAUUUAAAUCCAGCUAAAGUAGACUUUAAUAUUCAUAAAAGGAUAGAAUUGUUCUCCGAAUAAAUCUAUCAUGGAAAGUGUUGUGGCAAGUAUGAAUAAAGCCAAGGAGCUUAAUAUUUUAAUGGAAAUUUUUCUUCCAAAGACUAGAAAUAAAAAUAGAAAAAAUUUAACCUUUCAGGUCAUGGAAAUGAACUCAUAAAAUUCUCAGACCACAAGUGUUAAGGUAUCUUCACAGAAAAAGAGGAAAUAAAAAGAAUCAUAAGAGUUUUUCGGUCUAACUUUGUGCAAGUAAUUUUGAAAACCUGGAUAAAAGAAAGAAUAUUUUGAAAAAUGUAAUCUACCAAAACUCAACCAAAGAUGAAAAAUCUAGGCAGACAGAUUUCCAAAGAAGAAAUACAGAAAGUAGUCCAAAAGUUGCUUUUAUUCCUUUCAAUGUUUUCCUAAGGGAAUUCUAGAAAACCUUUAGAGAACAUAUUAUUCUAAUGUUAUUUAAAUUUUUUCAGAUCAUAGUAAAAAAGGAAAGUCCC